AUGUCUUCCCAUCCCGUCUCCCUGUCCGCCCGAGGCGGGGUAGGAACAGGAGUUAGCAGUAGUUUUGGGACAGGAUCCGCGGUUACUCCCCCAAAUGGAAUACUUUCACAGGGCCCUGCGGUCCCAGAGUUACAGCCACUGUGUCCGGAGGUCUUGCGAUCCCCGAAAACAAAAGCAGCCCAUUUGGGGAAGGAACACACAAAGGCCUGGAAGGUUCCAGAAACGAAGACGCGCUGCUCCGGGUCCUCUGGAGAAAGACCCGGCCCUCACCCUGCCCCGGGCCGCGCCCCGCCCUGUACCUGCCACCAACGCCUCAUCCUAAGAGACCGGCCGCAUCCCCGCGGGGGCGCCGGCGGGCGCGGCGGCCGCACCUGCGUCGACCCGGCGGCGGCGGCGGCGACUCCUCCACGGUGGCGGCGCCGGACGCGGCCCCGCCCACUUCAGCCUCGCGGUGCUAGGGCUCCGGCCGCCGCCCUCGGCGCGGAUCGCGCGGGCUACCGUUGGGCACCUCGGCGAGGCGGGGGGCGGGGCGGGGCCGGGCAGCCGCCGGCUGGGGCCGACUACCCCCGGCUCCGCCCCCGGCACGCCGUCGCCAGGGCAACCGAGCGCCAGGCGGGCCCAGAAGCGCUAACUGAGGAGGCUGCUUGCCAUAGCCAGGCGUCGGAUCCCGGCAGCCCUACCCCAGAAACGAGCCUCGCUCUGCCUUGGCUUGUGCUGAUCCUCUGUCCGGGGUGUUUUUCAAGGUUCAGAUGAGUUCUCAGGACCCUCUUGGCUCCGGAGAGUUGUUUCCUCCGCUGUGCUUCAGUUGCUCUCUGUCGUCAUCUCUAACAUAGAAUUUACCAGAUUAAAUGAUUACGCACUCCAGCCUGUCAGUGCUGCCCAAAUUACUGCUCACAUGGAAGGAAUCCAGAAAGGCCUGAGUGGGAUGGAUGCACCUGUGGCGUUUGCACUAUUAGCAGUCACGUUACACAGACACCUACAGCAAAGAACUUUUAUGUAUAAAUUGUUUUGAAAUAUUAAUAAAUCCUACAUUAUAUAAUGAGGUUAUAAAUUU
rnacentral:lncRNA from 1 species